CCUACGGGAGGCAGCAGUGGGGAAUUUUGGACAAUGGGCGAAGGCCUGAUCCAGCCAUUCCGCGUGAGUGAAGAAGGCCUUCGGGUUGUAAAGCUCUUUCGCAAGGGAAGAAAACUUAGAUACUAAUAUUAUCUGAGGUUGACGGUACCUUGAUAAGAAGCACCGGCUAACUACGUGCCAGCAGCCGCGGUAAUACGUAGGGUGCGAGCGUUAAUCGGAAUUACUGGGCGUAAAGCGUGCGCAGGCGGUUUUGUAAGUCAGAUGUGAAAUCCCCGAGCUCAACUUGGGAACUGCGUUUGAAACUACAAGACUAGAAUAUGUCAGAGGGGGGUAGAAUUCCACGUGUAGCAGUGAAAUGCGUAGAGAUGUGGAGGAAUACCAAUGGCGAAGGCAGCCCCCUGGGAUAAUAUUGACGCUCAUGCACGAAAGCGUGGGGAGCAAACAGGAUUAGAUACCCUGGUAGUCCACGCCCUAAACGAUGUCUACUAGUUGUUGGUGGAGUAAAAUCCAUGAGUAACGCAGCUAACGCGUGAAGUAGACCGCCUGGGGGAGGUACGGUCGGUCGAGAGUUAAACGUACGAAGAAGUUAGAGGCGNGNGAGNGCGACGGCGACGACGAGGGAGGAGG
rnacentral:rRNA from 1 species